rnacentral:rRNA from 1 species
GAUGAACGCUAGCGGCAGGCUUAACACAUGCAAGUCGAGGGGUAGAGGUUGCUUGCAACCUUGAGACCGGCGCACGGGUGCGUAACGCGUAUGCAACCUACCUUUUACAGAGGGAUAGCCCAGAGAAAUUUGGAUUAAUACCUCAUAGUAUAUAACCUUCGCAUGUUGGUUAUAUUAAAGUUCCAACGGUAAAAGAUGGGCAUGCGUCCUAUUAGCUAGAUGGUAAGGUAACGGCUUACCAUGGCAACGAUAGGUAGGGGUCCUGAGAGGGAGAUCCCCCACACUGGUACUGAGACACGGACCAGACUCCUACGGGAGGCAGCAGUGAGGAAUAUUGGUCAAUGGGCGCAAGCCUGAACCAGCCAUGCCGCGUGCAGGAAGAAGGUCCUAUGGAUUGUAAACUGCUUUUAUUUGGGAAUAAACCUCUUUACGUGUAGAGAGCUGAAGGUACCAAAUGAAUAAGCACCGGCUAACUCCGUGCCAGCCGCCGCCGUAACAC